GUCGAACGAGAUCCAUUCAGUAGCAAUACUGAUGAAGAUCUAGUGGCGAACGGGUGCGUAACACGUGAGGAACUUGUCCCGGUCUCUGGGAUAACAGUUGGAAACGACUGCUAAUACCGGAUGACGUCGGAACUUCGCAUGGAGUACUGACGAAAGGGUUACUGGAUCGGGAGAGCCUCGCGGCCUAUCAGCUUGUUGGUGGGGUAAUGGCCUACCAAGGCAUCGACGGGUAGCUGGUCUGAGAGGAUGAUCAGCCACACUGGGACUGAGACACGGCCCAGACUCCUACGGGAGGCAGCAGUGGGGAAUCUUGCACAAUGGGCGAAAGCCUGAUGCAGCAACGCCGCGUGCGGGAAGAAGGCCCUCGGGUUGUAAACCGCUUUCAGAAGGAACGAAACUGACGGUACUUUCAGAAGAAGGUGCGGCCAACUACGUGCCAGCAGCCGCG
rnacentral:rRNA from 1 species